rnacentral:rRNA from 1 species
AUACUGCAGGUCUUGAGUCAUGGUGGGGUUGCCGGAACAUGUGGUGUAGCGGUGAAAUGCAUAGAUAUCACAUAGAACACCGAUCGCGAAGGCAGGUGACCAACCAUGUACUGACGCUGAUGGACGAAAGCGUGGGUAGCGAACGGGAUUAGAUACCCCGGUAGUCCACGCCGUAAACGAUGGAUACUAGCUGUGGGGACUUCGGUCUCCGUGGCCAAGCGAAAGUGAUAAGUAUCCCACCUGGGGAGUACGUUCGCAAGAAUGAAACUCAAAGGAAUUGACGGGGGCCCGCACAAGCGGUGGAGCAUGUGGUUUAAUUCGAUGAUACGCGAGGAACCUUACCAGGGCUUAAAUGCAGGCUGCAUGGGGUAGAGAUACCCCUUUCUUCGGACCGCCUGCAAGGUGCUGCAUGGUUGUCGUCAGCUCGUGCCGUGAGGUGUCAGGUUAAGUCCUAUAACGAGCGCAACCCCUACCGUUAGUUGCCAGCAUGUCAAGAUGGGGACUCUAACGGGACUGCCGGUGCAAACCGUGAGGAAGGUGGGGACGACGUCAAAUCAUCACGGCCCUUACGUCCUGGGCUACACACGUGCUACAAUGGCCGGUACAGAGGGAAGCCACCCCGCAAGGGGGCGCGGAUCUACAAAACCGGUCACAGUUCGGAUCGGGGUCUGCAACUCGACCCCGUGAAGCUGGAAUCGCUAGUAAUCGGAUAUCAGCCAUGAUCCGGUGAAUACGUUCCCGGGCCUUGUACACACC